AGCGAACGCUGGCGGCAGGCCUAACACAUGCAAGUCGAACGAACUCUUCGGAGUUAGUGGCGGACGGGUGAGUGACACGUGGGAACGUGCCUUUUGGUUCGGAAUAACUCAGGGAAACUUGUGCUAAUACCGAAUGUGCCCUUCGGGGGAAAGAUUUAUCGCCAUUAGAGCGGCCCGCGUCUGAUUAGCUAGUUGGUGAGGUAACGGCUCACCAAGGCGACGAUCAGUAGCUGGUCUGAGAGGAUGACCAGCCACACUGGGACUGAGACACGGCCCAGACUCCUACGGGAGGCAGCAGUGGGGAAUCUUGCGCAAUGGGCGAAAGCCUGACGCAGCCAUGCCGCGUGAAUGAUGAAGGUCCUAGGAUUGUAAAAUUCUUUCACCGGGGACGAUAAUGACGGUACCCGGAGAAGAAGCCCCGGCUAACUUCGUG
rnacentral:rRNA from 1 species